GCGCUCGCUUCGGCAGCACAUACACUAAAAUUGGAACAAUACAGAGAAGAUGAGCACGGCCCCUGCGCAAGGAUGACACGCGAAUUCGUGAAGCAUUCUGUGUUAAA